rnacentral:rRNA from 1 species
AUACGGAGGGGGUUAGCGUUGUUCGGAAUUACUGGGCGUAAAGCGCGCGUAGGCGGAUUAGUCAGUCAGAGGUGAAAUCCCGGGGCUCAACCCCGGAACUGCCUUUGAUACUGCUAGUCUUGAGUUCGAGAGAGGUGAGUGGAACUCCGAGUGUAGAGGUGAAAUUCGUAGAUAUUCGGAAGAACACCAGUGGCGAAGGCGGCUCACUGGCUCGAUACUGACGCUGAGGUGCGAAAGUGUGGGGAGCAAACAGGAUUAGAUAACCUGGUAGUCCACACCGUAAACGAUGAAUGCCAGACGUCGGGCAGCAUGCUGUUCGGUGUCACACCUAACGGAUUAAGCAUUCCGCCUGGGGAGUACGGCCGCAAGGUUAAA